UACGUAGGGUGCAAGCGUUGCCCGGAAUUAUUGGGCGUAAAGAGCUCGUAGGUGGCCUGUCGCGUCGGCUGUGAAAACUCGGGGCUCAACUCCGAGCUUGCAGUCGAUACGGGCAGGCUAGAGUUCGGCAGGGGAGACUGGAAUUCCUGGUGUAGCGGUGAAAUGCGCAGAUAUCAGGAGGAACACCGGUGGCGAAGGCGGGUCUCUGGGCCGAUACUGACACUGAGGAGCGAAAGCGUGGGGAGCGAACAGG
rnacentral:rRNA from 1 species